UUGUAAAACCGAGGUGUGAGGGCUGUCGCUGACCCUUUCCGGUCGUGCACGCCCUCGCACUCUCACACAAUCCAUCUCACCCUUGUGCACCACCGCGUGGGUCCCUCCCUGGCUCGUCCGGAGGGGGGGCUCGCGUUUUCACACAAACUUGAAGUAGUGUAGAAUGUUCUUUUUUGCGAUAACACGCAAUCAAUA
rnacentral:misc_RNA from 1 species